rnacentral:lncRNA from 1 species
CUCAUUCACUUUAUAUCUGAUUGUCAAGCAUGCGAGCAGUUAUUACGUUUCGUAUGUUGAUAACGUAUACUGUAGAAUUGUGACUAAGAAACAUUUAAAAUGAAUGAAACAAUCACACUUGAUGAUAUAAGUGAUAAACAUAUCGGACGUUUCAUAGCACCGAUUUCAUUUCUUUGCCUAUUGUUGAUUUUUGGAAUACCAGGCAAUUUAGCCGUUUUAUUCAUAUACGGUACCAAGUAUUCCAAAUGUGUGUUCAGAGUUCUCAUUUGUAAUCUGGCUGUUGUUGAUCUAAUUUUCUGCAGUUUAGGCAUACCAUUUAAUAUUGCUCGUAUUGUUCAUUAUUAUACAUUCGAUGGACGGUGGGCGUGUAAAAUUAUCACAGGAGUCAUUGUAUUUGGAUUCAUAUAUUCUGCUCAUCUGGUGAUGUUACUAUCAGUGCAUAGAUUCAGACAAAUCUGUUAUUCGGUCAAAACUCAAAUUUCUGUCAAGAACAUUCAUUAUUUUAUAAUAGUCUGUUUUGUUAUCGGGAUACUACUGUCAUGGCCACAAGCAGUAUUAAUUGAUAUUGAUGCGAUAAAAUUACAAAAUAACAUUACUACUCGCACCUGUCCAAUUACUGCUGAGCAUCCUUCGAAGUACUCGAUUGUAUAUAGUACUUUCAAUGUAUGUUUAUUUUCGAUCUAUACUGUAAUUUUGUUUGUGCUUUAUUCACUGAUAGCCAGGAAAAUUUACCUACAACGCCAAAAACGACUUUGUCCUCAUACACAAACUUCUGACGGCAAUAUGUCCGAAAAGAUGACAAAAAUUGCUUUUACUAUUUCAGUGGUGUUUGCACUGAGCUAUAUUCCUCUUUUUUUCUCAAAGUUGCAAAGGACUGGUUUGAUGAGAGCGAUAUCAAUGAAUUCGCAUUUUCGACUUUGAAAAUUGCUGAAAGAUGUUACAUUGUCAACCACGUUGCAAAUCCAAUAAUAUAUUUUAUUUUUGACAAACGUUUUAGGCGAAGUAUGAGGAAUCUCGUUUCUUGCAAAAGGGGAGUUGAAUCAGAAAGUAAAGAUAAACGCUACAAUGUUGAUCAUUCAACUGACCAUACGAUAACUGAUCAUGACCAUACAGCAUCCACGACAAUCAUUUAAAGUCUAAAUUAGCGUUGCAAUACAGUUGAAUAGCGUGAUAUAUUAAAGGACAUAAAUUAUAUAACCUGUUAUAAAACAAUUGAUCGAAUAAAAUUUAUCUAGAAGAGUACUGGGGAGUCAAAUUAGAAACAUAUUAAAUCUAUAAAAGAGAACAAUAAAGGUAACAUGAAUGCAUAUAACCAACCAGACUUGUAUCGAAACUACUGUCUAUAAUUUGCUAUAAAUAUAGAAAUAGACCAGAAAAUCAACUCAUAUUCAUGGAACAGAUCCCAAAAUGUCAUCGUAUUCUUGUUCUGCACAUUAGUUUUUAAACGUUUACAUGUUUUAAGGAAGCUUUGUUAUCAUUCUUAUGAUGUAAUCAGAAUUACUGUGAAUACACACUCUAUAGCAUUGUUAAUAGCUGUGAUACGCACUAGCAUUGUAUGGCUGUGGUAUGGAUAAGUAUUGAUUUGAGCGUCACUGAUGAGUCUUGUGUAGAAGAAACGCGCGUCUAGCGUACUAAAUUAUAAUCCUGGUACCUUUGAUAACUAUUGUAUGACUGUCAUAUGACAUUUGAUGUGUAUGUAUGCGAUAUGAUGUAUCAAGGGAGGUGUUUUAAAAUACUUUUUUCCAUAUUUUCUUUGUAAAUACCCUUUCGACCAUACAAAUGCAUCUUACAAAUAAAAGGUAUACCACGCCUUAACAUAGGAUACUUAUAUAUAUUUCAUGAUGAAAAGUUAUUAAAAUACCAUACAUUAUUACAACUUUCAUUAAAAUAUAGUUAAUACGUAUACAUAAGUGAAUAAUUGUAAAAGUUUUUCUUGAUCAACAUUGCCAUUGCGAUUAAAAAUUCAUAUCUCAAAAUGACAUGUCUAGCUCAGCAUCACAACAGUUUUAUAGACUAGUAUAGCAAAUAAUCAAUUGCAAAUAUGGUAAUCAAAUGUUGCUAUAUAUAUAUAAAAUUUAAAAAAAGAAGAUGUUGUGUGAUUGCCAAUGAGACAACUAUUCACAGGAGACUAAAGGACACACACAUUAACGACUAUAUGUCACCGUACGACCUUUAAUACUGAACAAUCCAAUACCGCAUAGAUAGCUAUAAAAGGCCCAUUUAACAAAUGUAAACCAAUUCAAACUAGAGAACUAAAUAAGAUGACAUUGAUAAGUCAUAAUUUGAAGCAGCAUGAGUCAAGGCAUGAAAUUCUACAAAUAGGUUACAAUAUCAGAUGGGCGAAAGUGGAGAAACAUUCAUAUGUGGCUGAUAAAUAUUUGCUAAGAUCGUCUAGAUUUUUAACCCUACUGUGAAACGUCAAAAUAACCUUUUUUGUUAUUUCUAAGCUGAACAAUAUAUUCUUAAAUACAAAGAAAUAAACACAACGAAAGAUUUGAAACAUACUGUAUCAGCUGUGAAACUGCAGCAAUGUGUUGUCUGUUUUUACUGUAAUUCUACGUCUACUAAAAUGUAUAUAGAAAGUAUCAC